rnacentral:rRNA from 1 species
CUUCCGAUCUGACACUGUCCAAACACCUACGGGUGGCUGCAGUCGAGAAUAUUUGUCAAUGCGCGAAAGCGUGAACAAGCAAUGCCGCGUGCAGGAUGAAGGCUUUCGGGUCGUAAACUGCUUUUAUUAGGGAAGAAUCAAGAUGACGGUACCUAAUGAAUAAGAGGUUACUAACUCUGUGCCAGCAGUAGCGGUAAUACAGAGACCUCAAGCGUUAUCCGGAUUUAUUGGGCGUAAAGCGCAGGUAGGCGGGUUUAUUAGUCGGAUGUCAAAGACCGGGGCUCAACUCCGGGAAGGCAUUCGAAACGGUAUACCUAGAGAAUGUGAGAGAUGAGUGGAAUUCAUGGUGUAGUAGUGAAAUGCGUUGAUAUCAUGAGGAACACCCAAGGCGUAGGCAAUCAAUUGGCACAUUUCUGACGCUCAGUUACGAAAGCGUGGGUAGCGAAUGGGAUUAGAUACCCCAGUAGUCCACGCCCUAAACGAUGCAUACUAGGUGUGGGGAGAAUCGACCCUCUCUGUGCCGUAGCUAACGCGUUAAGUAUGCCGCCUGGGAAGUACGAGCGCAAGCUUAAAACUCAAAGGAAUAGACGGGGAUCCGCACAAGUGGUGGAGCAUGUGGUUUAAUUCGACGGUAAGCGAGGCACCUCACCAAGGUUUGAAAUCUAGCUGCAGAGCCCAGAAAUGGGAUGUCCUUCGAGGGUGCUAGACCAGGUGCUGCAUGGUUGUCGUCAGCUCGUGUCGUAAGAUGUUCCGUUCAGUCGGGAAACGAGCGCAACCCCUGUGAAGUGUUAUACAUGUCACUUCAGACUGCCCUCUCAUUUGAAUGCGAAGCAUAGGCUUCGUUGGCAAGUGAGAGGGAGGAAGGCGGGGAUGACGUCAAAUCAGCAUGGCCCUUUGACACCUUGGGCGACACACGUGCUACAAUGGCCGAUAAUAAAGGGUUGCCAACCAGCGAUGGGGAGCCAAUCUCAAAAACUCGGUCUCAGUUCGGAUUGCAGGCUGCAACUCGCCUGCAUGAAGCUGAGAUCGGAAGAGCACACGUCU